GCGCCUGCGGGCCAGCCUCCGGUCACGUGACGGCGGCGCAGGUGAGCACCGCUUCCGGGGUCGGGAGCCGGGAUAGCUGCCGGCUCCGGCUUUCACUCAGCAGGGUACGCGAGAGGCCAUGGCGUCCUCCUCUGCCCCGCCGGCCACCGUACCAGCGACGGCAGCGGCCCCCGGUCCGGGUUUCGGCUUCGCCUCCAAAACCAAGAAAAAGCAUUUCGUGCAGCAGAAGGUGAAGGUGUUCCGGGCGGCUGACCCGCUGGUGGGCGUGUUCCUGUGGGGCGUAGCCCACUCGAUCAAUGAGCUCAGCCAGGUGCCUCCCCCGGUGAUGCUGCUGCCAGAUGACUUUAAGGCCAGCUCCAAGAUCAAGGUCAACAAUCACCUUUUCCACAGGGAAAAUCUGCCCAGUCAUUUCAAGUUCAAGGAGUAUUGUCCCCAGGUCUUCAGGAACCUCCGUGAUCGAUUUGGCAUUGAUGACCAGGAUUACUUGGUGUCCCUUACCCGAAGUCCCCCAAGUGAAAGUGAAGGCAGUGAUGGUCGCUUCCUUAUCUCCUAUGAUCGGACUCUGGUCAUCAAAGAAGUAUCCAGUGAGGACAUCGCUGACAUGCAUAGCAACCUCUCCAACUACCACCAGUACAUUGUGAAGUGCCAUGGCAACACACUGCUGCCCCAGUUCCUGGGGAUGUACCGCGUCAGCGUGGACAGUGAGGACAGCUACAUGCUUGUGAUGCGCAACAUGUUCAGCCACCGUCUUCCUGUGCACAGGAAGUAUGACCUCAAGGGUUCCCUUGUGUCCCGGGAAGCCACUGAUAAGGAAAAGGUUAAAGAAUUGCCCACUCUUAAGGAUAUGGACUUUCUUAACAAGAACCAGAAAGUUUAUAUUGGUGAAGAAGAGAAGAAAGUAUUUCUAGAGAAGCUGAAGCGAGAUGUGGAGUUCCUCGUGCAGCUGAAGAUCAUGGACUACAGCCUUCUGCUGGGCAUCCAUGACAUCAUUCGGGGCUCUGAAACCGAGGAGGAAGGGCCAGUGCGGGAAGAGGAGUCAGAGGGGGAUGGGGACUGUGGCCUGACCGGACCUCCAGCUCUGGUGGGCUCCUAUGGCACCUCCCCCGAGGGUAUCGGUGGCUACAUCCAUUCCCAUCGGCCCCUGGGACCUGGAGAGUUUGAAUCCUUCAUUGAUGUCUACGCUAUCCGGAGUGCUGAGGGGGCCCCUCAGAAGGAGGUGUAUUUCAUGGGCCUCAUUGACAUCCUGACACAGUAUGAUGCCAAGAAGAAAGCAGCUCAUGCAGCCAAAACUGUCAAGCAUGGGGCUGGGGCAGAGAUAUCUACUGUCCAUCCUGAGCAGUAUGCUAAGCGGUUCCUGGAUUUUAUUACCAACAUCUUUGCCUAAGAGACUCCAUGGUGACUGCUGCUUUAUGUUCAAGGUGGUGGGGUUCUUCAGAGAGGCUUGGGGGAAUUGUGGAUAUUCUGGCCACUACUUCUCUUCCUCUUUGCUAAAUUCAGGCUACAGGCUCUGUUGAGUAGGUUCUUCGUGGCCCUCAGAAAUACAUCCUUUCUACCCUUUGUCCAGUUUUCCUCCCUCUCUCCCUCUCCUCCAAGAAGUCUGCUUGAUUUGUUAGAGUGUAAUUGUUGACUCUCAAGUGCCUUGAUCUUUGUAAAAUGUCCCGUUGUUUCUGUAACAUAGGAGGAGCUGGGGGAAGGGGGUUGUUUGCUGUCUUCAGGACCUGAUUGGACAGAUGGACCUGGCUCAAGCAACUACUCUGGAUGCACUUUGCUGUGUGGGAUGAACUAAGUGUCUGAAUUUUGCUGAUAACUUUAUAGAACUUAUUAUGGAAUGCUUCCUUCUGGUAGGCCCUGGGAUGGAAGACUUUCAUGAUACUACAGAUGUGGGUGCAGGAAUGCACGCAUAUGAUGGGAUAUGGCCAGUUUCACACACACAAGUGGGGUGGAGAGUGGUCAGCAGGCUGGCACCUCAUGCAGGUGGGACCUAAGAGGACUCUUGUGAUUAUGCAGGGAACUGGAGAAGGUCUCUGUCAAGGAUUAACUAUUCUCCAAUCUCUUCCCUUACCCCACUUCCACUACCACCCCUGUACUUGUGGGUGCAGGAGCCCAGAGAUGGAUGGCCACAGUGUUCAAGCCUAGGUGAAAGUGUUUGACUUCUGCUGCUCUUCCCCAGGAUCACACACCCCCCCUGGCCCUGGAACCCUUUGGUGAGGCCAUCCCUGAAGUUUUAUUCCCAGGAGAAGGGAAUAUCGCUACCUGGGUCAACCCCGGCCAUUUUAAGAGGAUGGAGGUCUCAAUUAUGGGAACCUUUUCUGGAGGUGUGUGCCUAGCAUACUUCCUUCCCCCACCCACUCUCAAACCCUUUCCCCAGUUGGAUUUGUUAUUCUGUUCUCUUCUGUCCCGUCUUAUACUGCUACUGUGUUUCCCAGGGGACAGAUGGCCGCCUUUGUCAUCUUCAUUCUCCACCCCCAGAGAGGAAUCAGAGCCAUAACUCAAUCACCCUGCCCCCUCCAAAGAUAGUUGAGUUGAUGCAUGAUAUUCUCAGAAUGUAGAGGACCAUCAUGAGCCCAGAUAGCGUCCUCCCCUCCCGCCAAUGCCUUUCGGGCUAAGGCAGCCAUUCUUGCUAUCCUCCAUACCCCUUGAGGCUCCUACAUUUUUUUCUUAAACACAAAGAUGGGCACCAGCAACUGGCCUGUGGGGAUGCAAAGAUUCUUUUCUCUGUAUCUGGCUGGACUGAUCUGUCUCACAAGAAGUCAUGAGGUCGUAAAGAAUUCUUUCUCCCCUCCAUCUUCUCCAAAGAAAGAAGAGUCCCCAGUUAAGGAUUGGAGCCCCUGUGAUAUCAUCCUGUCUGGAGCCUGAUGGAUCUUUUUCAUUCCAACCAUCUACCUUUCCCCUGUUGAAUGCAAUAAAACUCCAUGACACCAGCAACUGUUCUUUAGAAAUGUGUUUUCUGACCAUGUGGCUAAUGUAUCAUGAGCAGUAUGGUCUUCAUUUGUUGCUUCUGAUUUUCAUCUUUUUUUAUUAAUACAAAAGAUCUUGUGUAUU